rnacentral:lncRNA from 1 species
CUUUAUAAAACACUAGAAACGAAAAACACUUUUAACUCACCAACAAACGACAACCACUGAACAACAGGAUCCUGACACUCCGAUAAGCUUGGCUGCAAAUUGAAGGCUUCUACGUUUUCUCUUCAUGGACAAUGACAAUCCAUGUCCCUCCUAUUAAAACAAUUUCAUACGAUAAGAAGCUUAUGAUACCAAAGUGAUUUGCAAACUCGAUAAGUUAAAAUAAAAACUGACAAUACCAUGAUAAAAAAAAUACGAUCAAAGGACAAAAAUAAUUCAAACACAUAGAACCCUAUAUACUGAUAAACACGAAAUUUGUCUCAUCAAAGUUCAAAUACGAAGAUAAGACUAGUUCGGUUUUCACAUUCAAAGAAAUGAUG